CAAAGGCUUAGUCCUGACUUUACUAUCAACUCUAACUAGACUUACACAUGCAAGUAUCCGCACCCCUGUGAGAAUGCCCUCCCCUCCCUGCCCAGGGAACGAGGAGCCGGUAUCAGGCACGCCCCGCAGCCCAAGACGCCUUGUUCAGCCACACCCCUAAGGGAACUCAGCAGUGAUAAACAUUGAACCAUAAGUGAAAACUUGAAUCAGUUAAAGUUAAUAGGGCUGGUAAAACUCGUGCCAGCCACCGCGGUUAUACGAGCAGCCCAAGCUGAUAAAUAUCGGCGUAAAGAGUGGUUAAGGAGUAAAACAAAAUAAAGCCGAACGCCCUCAAGGCUGUUAUACGCAUCCGAAGGUACGAAGCACCCCUACGAAAGUAACUUUAAACCCCGCCUGACCCCACGAAAGCUACGAAACAAACUGGGAUUAGAUACCCCACUAUGCCUAGCCCUAAACAUUGAUGGUAAGCCCACCCCGCCAUCCGCCCGGAAACUCGAGCACUAGCUUAAAACCCAAAGGACUUGGCGGUGCUUCACCCACCUAGAGGAGCCUGUCCCAGAACCGACACCCCCCGUUCAACCUCACCUCCCCUUGUUUUUUCUGUCUAUAUACCACCGUCGUCAGCUGACCCUAUGAAGGACCCAGAGUAAGCACAAUUGAUAAAACCCAAGACGUCAGGUCGAGGUGUAGCGUAUGAGGAGGGAGGAGAUGGGCUACAUUCUCUACCCCAGAGAAAUACGAAUGUACUAGUAUUGAAAUAUACAACUGAAGGAGGAUUUAGAAGUAAGUGAGAAACAGAGCGUCCCACUGAAACCGGCCCUGAAGCACGCACAUACCGCCCGUCCCCCUCUCCGAGCUUAGAAUCUCAAAAUAUUUAAACCCCCCCCCCGCUUAAAGGAGAGACAAGUCGUAACAUGGUAAGUGUACCGGAAGGUGCACUUGGAAAAAC
rnacentral:ncRNA from 1 species